CAGUAUGCAGCCCUUCCAGACCGACUUCUUUUACUUAGCGAUGUGCCUUUCGGGUUCUUCCACAUCUUCCUGUAGCCUCUGCGGUUUGGGGGGGAAAGCGAUGGUCGUUUGAAUUGCUCUUCCCAAUAGGCUGAAUUUUCCUCUGUUGCAUAGGUUGGAAAUUUUCUAUGGAUCUCUCUCCGCAAGCGAUGGGUCCAGCUGCGCCCAGACCACAGUUCUGUGUCACCUGCUGCGGGCCGCGUUUUCUGUCUCAGUUCAGCUCUUGGGGCCUUUGCUGGGCUGUGUAGGGUUGUCUUCUCCAGCUCUUCUCUGUCCUGGAUUUCUCCCAGCAGGACCCCUGUCCUGCUUCCUCUGUUCAGAAGGAUGGAGUCCCCAUCAGAGUCGUAGCUGCUUGUACCCCCACUGCCGUGAGGCCUGGACAUGCACCGGGCUCCCCGCUCCUUCACCAAGACCAGAAGUCCACACCUGAAUGUACGAAGUCAUUGUCACUGGUGUGGCUGGUACGAGAUUUUUAGGCUGUUAUUCCUCCAUUCCUACUGAUAGCAAGAAAUGUAAUCU